UCCGGGGUCGUCUAAUGGCAGGACACGGGCCUUUGGAGCCCGGUGUCUAGGUUCGAAUCCUAGCCCCGGAGCCA
rnacentral:tRNA from 1 species